UGCUGCAGCCAAUGAUGCGAUUCACAUACGUAUUUACGCAGCUAAUCAACGUCAAUGACAUGCGUCCUUCUGUACAGCCACCGUUGUUCUCAUAGAUAUGAAUGAGUAGAUAGGACACGUGCCUUUGAGCUGCGUGCUACGGCGAGGCUAAGCUAGUGGGGGAAAAGUUUCAGUGCAUUCCGUUGAUGUAGACGGCGUGAAAACGGAAACAACAAAUGUAAAUGUUAUAAUCUAAGGUUUGAGUUUACAUAAUAAAUAAGUUCAUAUGGUUUUAAUUUGACGUUAUAAAUAAUAUUUCGUAGCUUGUAAUUUGAUCAAUUUAAUUGGUUAAAACAGUAAAGGGGUUCAACGUUCCACGUAGGAACUAAAGUCGCAUGUUUGGUUCCACCACGGACUGAGAAAGAGACGGUAUAAUCGGAAGACAGGUUCACGAGUCGAUCUGGAUGCAUUUAAGUGACUUUCGUGGACUGCAAAGACUUUAAGGACACUCUCAUGACUGGCAGUGCAACGAGGUUUCCCAGAGACUAUGGGUUGAGGAGGAAUUGGAAGUUUGUCGGCUUAGACCUGGUGUCAUUCCAUCAGUGUUAAACUUCCCGGCUCAUCUUGGAAGAGUACGUACCAGAAAGACCACGACCAAGCAGCCUUGAGAUCUUAGACAGCGUCUCCCUGAGGUCCCUCUCUAUCUCCCCACACAUCCACCAACCACUGGAACACAUCUCCAAAGUUCUGCUGGACCAGCUCAGCUUCCCCUCAGAAGAAGUUCUGCCAGAUGAAGGAGCCUUUUGAGAGGCAGCUGGCAUCGUGAUUGGACUGUACUUUGGUCUGUUCCAAUCCAGCUUCGGCUCCAGAGACGGCAGGCAGGACGAGUCAACGGAGGCCGGGUGGACGAAGGCAUGCAGCUGAGUACAAUCCAGAAAACAACAGAGGAGGAGUGCAGCAGCCCAGAGCCAGAACAAACAGAGUAGCAUGGUAUGUCUCUUAGAAAACAUCAUAGUAUAGCCUUUGGUAUGAAAAAACACCAUCAUAUGCAUCGUAUAUUGUACAAAUAACAAGUCAAAGGAAAGAGACAUACAUUGUAGAAUUGUACUAAUUGUGGGCUGACUGAUUUUCUGAUUAUCAGUAUUUUAUUUUUUACUGAUUUACGGUAAUAAAUACAUUUAAAAAUGGCGCUA